rnacentral:lncRNA from 1 species
CUGCCCGUUCUCAGAUCUCCAGCUGCAUACUGGGAGAACCACUGCUCUCUUCAAAGCUGUCAGACAGGGACAUUUAAGUCUGCAGAGGUUACUGCUGUCUUUUUGUUUGUCUGUGCCCUGCCCCCAGAGGUGGAGCCUACAGAGGCAGGCAGGCCUCCUUGAGCUGUGGUGGGCUCCGCCCAGUUCGAGCUUCCCAGCUGCUUUGUUUACCUAAUCAAGCCUGGGCAAUGGCGGGCGCCCCUCCCCCAGCCUCGCUGCCGCCUUGCAGUUUGAUCUCAGACUGCUGUGCUAGCAAUCAGCGAGACUCCGUGGGCAUAGGACCCUCCAAGUCAGGUGCGGGAUAUAAUCUCGUGGUGCUCCAUUUUUUAAGCCCGUCGGAAAAGCGCAGUAUUUGGGUGGGAGUGACCUGAUUUUCCAGGUGCCGUCCAUCACCCCUUUCUUUGACUCAGAAAGGGAACUCCCUGACCCCUUGCGCUUCCCAAGUGAGGCAAUGCCUCGCCCUGCUUCGGCUUGCGCACGGUGCACGCACCCACUGACUUGCGCCCACUGUCUGGCACUCCCUAGAGAGAUGAAGCCGGUACCUCAGAUGGAAAUGCAGAAAUCACCCGUCUUCUGCGUCGCUCACGCUGGUUGCUGUAGACCGGAGCUGUUCCUAUUCGGCCAUCUUGGCUCCUCCCGUGAGAUUUUUAAAAACCAGAAAUGAAGGGGAGCAGGUAGGAUGCCAGGAUGGGACUCGCAUCUGCUCUGGUUGAUGAGGCGCUGUGAGGAUGGCAGGGAAUGUUCUUCCCUCAGGAGGUGAGGAGAAGGUCUCUCACUCCCACAGCUUCUUCUGGUACUUUCUGGUAGAUUAGCCCAAGACCCCUGCUUUCGAUGAGAAAACCGAAGCACAAAGGCGCUAAGUAAAUUGCGCACCCACACAUAGCUAAGAAGCGGCAGAGCUGGACGAAACCUCUGCACUCACCACUUCCGUGGCUGUGCUUUGUUUCACGAGGUGAGACAAAUCAGCUGAGGAAGUAGAACAUAGGCCCUAAUGACUAACAAGCCUAUGAAAAGCAAGUCCCGCUUCUGAUGGGGAAGCCUUAGGGGAGAAGGACCAGUGACUGGCAGACCCUCACUUGGGACAAGAACUAAUGCUGGGGUAAGACCCACCAGAAGAUUGAGUCCUGAGCACAGACACAACCCGGUGUUUGUUCUGAGAAGCUUCUGAACUAAGGCUGAGUCAGAAAAAGCCAAUGGAGAAGGCAAGAGAUACAGAGGAAACAGGGAUAACCAGCUGGCUGUGCAGAAAGCUGAAGAAGGAGUCCAGGGUGGCGGCAAUGGGCUGGGACACAGAGGGAGGAGCAGUGUCCUUGUUUUGUUACUGUUGUAACCCAAAUCAAGGAGGCCCCUUCAGGAAGUGACAGCCUCCAACCAUGUCCAAUCCUUCUGCUUAGAAAGGGAUUCUUCUUUACGUGACCCUGGUCAUGCAACUAGUGAUGGGGUAGGGAUGUGCUGCCUGGUAGCCUUUACCGCAAGCAAAGCCAUUUACAUUUGGAUCCCUCUACAUUUUCAGCUCCACUUCUCAACCUCCCUAACCACACAAUGGCAUCCAAACCAUGCCAUUCACUUCCCCUGGAAGCCUCCAUGCCUGUGGUGGUGCUAUAGCUUCUGCCUCCACCCCUUUUCAGCUCAACAAGCUCCCCGUCACAUUGCGAGUCCUUGCCCAAACUGCAGAUCCUCUAAGAAAUCUUUCUGCCCCUUAUUUGCGCCUUCCUCUGCUCUCUUUCAGAUUUUGCAUUUGUCUCCCUUGGUAACCUAAAAAGGGAAAUUCUUUACUUUUCAUCUCAGUGUUUGUUGAGUUCAUAGUAAGCACUUGGUAAAUAUUGAAGAAGUGAACAAACAAAUAAAUGUCCUUUGAAGGAAUGCAGAUGGAGCUGGAGGCCAUUAUCCUUAGCAAACUAAUGCAGGAAGAGAAAAUCAAAUAUUGCGUGUUCUCAUUUGUAAGUGGGAGCUAAAUAAUAAGAACACAUAAACACUUAGUGGGGAGCAAUAGACACAGGGGCCUACUAGAGGGUGGAGGGUGGGAGGAGGGAGAGGAUCCAGAAAAAUAACUAAUAGACACUAGGCUUAAUACCUGGGUGACAAAACAAUCUGCACAACGAAUCCCCAUGACAAGAGUGUGCCUACAUAACAAACCUGCACAGGUACCCCUGAACUUGAAAGUUUAAAAAAAAAAUUAAAAAACCACAAAUAAAUGUCUGAAAUGCUUUAAUUAGUUCUUGUCUUCACUGGUUUGCUUUUACUGCCUGGAACUAGCAAAGGGUUAGCAGAGCUAUGAAAUGACUGUGUCACUUGCCUGUUUGUCUGGAAUCCCUUCACCACCACGUAUUAGCUGUCUGGAGAAAUCACUUAACCUUUGAACCCCAUUGUGUUUCCUCCACUGUAAAUCAGGGCAUAUAGCCCCCAUCCUGCAGCAUCUUUGUGAAGAAUCAGUGGCUAAGGAAUGCUGUGUGCUGGGUUCCAUGCCGCCAUAUUCAGUAUCAGCCAGGAAGUGGUAGAUGGUGGUGGUGGUGGUGGUGGUGAUUUAAAAAAAGAGUCAGUCUGUUGCAUUAUUUUCCUUUGCAAAAAGGUUAUUUAUUGAAAAAGUGAUUGUUGUGGGUUGAAUUGUGUCUCCCAAAAAGAUACGUUGAGUCUUAACCCUCUGUACUGUUAACAUGACCUCAUUUGGAAAUAGGGUCCUUGUAGAUGUUAUCAGAUUAGGAUGGGAUUAUACUGGAUGAGAGUGGCUCCUAAUUUAAUAGUAUUGUUAUAAGAAGAAACAAUUUUGAACACAGAGACACAGACACAGGGAGAACACCAGAUGUUGAUGGGGGCAGAAACUGAAGGGACACAUCUAAAAGCUGAGACAUGGUGAAGAAUGCCACCAAUGGCCAGAAGCCAGGAAGAGAUGAGGAAGAAUCCUGUCCUAAAAUCAUCAGAGGGAGUGUGUCCCCGAUGAUGCCUCGAUUUCAGAACUUCUAGCCUCCAGAACUAUGAGACAACGCAUUUCUCUUCUUUCAAGCCAUAUAGUUUGUGGUCUCGUGUUACGGCAGACCCAGAAACUAAUAAUUCUGUGGACUUGUGCUUCUAAAUAGAAAAUACAAACUUAUAAAUCUUUCUCAUAAAUCAUCUGAGAAGUUAGAGGCAUCUAGGAUUAAGGAGGAAAAUCCUGGUCUAUAUGUUGAGAAAAGAGGAAAAGAAGCCAAAAGACUCCAAUACAACAUGUGGAAUUUAGCAAAAUCAACAUUUGAGAUACUUUUUCAACAAUCCCGUUUCUUAACUGAGAUUUUAUUGUUGGGUUCAUAAAUUAAUUUAACAAGCAUGUUUCACCUGCAGAGAGCCGGGGUGGCCACGCUGGGAAGAGUAUGGACUUUGGAGUUGCACAGGCUUGGGUUCAAUCCAGGCUUCCCCACUUAGCAGCCAGUGGUCUCAGGCAAGUUACUUGACCUACAUGAGCCUCAGCCUCCUUCCGUGCCCAUCUCCGGGUUUGCUGUGUGGAGUCAAUAGUUGAUAUUUGUGAUAAGUGCAGCAAAGCACUGCCUGUGGGUAUGAUGCAAUCUGCUCCCAAUGUAUAUAUCCAAAGGAAACAUCUGUCCUCAACAGAAAUCAGAGCAAUCCCCAACACUUAAAGAGCAGACAUUCAUGCAGGUGGAUGAAGCAGAACCAGAGACACUUGAGCUUGACUGAAAGAAGGAGAAAGUUGCAUCAUGCUUAGAGCAGGAGUUUUCAAGAGAAGUGUGAAAAAAACACAACCCUGACAUCCACCUUGGACAGAUAUAACAGGACACGUGUUUCUCAUGUGAAGAGAUUCUUUAUUUGAUUUUCAUCACCUUUCAAUGAAAGAGUGGGUCCUGUCAGCACUACGUAAAAUAUAUAUCUUAA